rnacentral:rRNA from 1 species
AUUGAACGCUGGCGGCAGGCCUAACACAUGCAAGUCGAACGAGUGGCGGACGGGUGAGUAAUGUAUGGGAAACUGCCUGAUGGAGGGGGAUAACUACUGGAAACGGUAGAUAAUACCGCAUACCAUCGGAUGUGCCCAGAUGGGAUUAGCUAGUAGGUGGGGUAAAGGCUCACCUAGGCGAAGAUCCCUAGCUGGUCUGAGAGGCUGACCGGCCACCCGGGAACUGAGACACGGUCCAGACUCCUACGGGAGGCAGCAGUGGGGAAUAUUGCACAAUGGGCUGUAGCCUGAUGCAUCCAUGCCGCGUGUAUGAAGGAGGCCUUCGUGUUGUAAAGUACUUUCAGCGGGGAGGCGUUACCCGCAGAAGAAGCACCGUCUAACUCCGUGCCAGCAGCCGCGGUAAUAC